GCUGCCAUAGCUCCAGCGGUAGAGCGCACCCUUGGUAAGGGUGAGGUCGCGUGUUCGAAUCACGCUGGCAGCACCA
rnacentral:tRNA from 11 species